ensembl:lncRNA
GGGGCUUGCUGUACUGUAGUUGGCAGGCUGAGGGGGUUGGGUGAGGGCUUGCUGUACUGUAGUUGGCAGGCUGAGGGGGGGGUGGGUGAGGGGGCUUGGCUGAGUUGGGGCUUGCUGUACUGUAGUUGGCAGGCUGAGGGGGGGUUGGGUGAGGGGCUGUGCUGUAGUGUAGCUGGCUGGAGUAACUGAUUAACACUAUAGGGCCAAACUGGGCCGAACUGAACUGGGCUGGUUAUUCUUUCACCAUAGUAGCUGGAACCGUGCUGGAAAGGACAAUGUGUAAAUAAAAUAUCUGAGUCAGUACAGUACAGGUCAGCCCUAUCGUUCAGAUCAGGCAGAGGAAGAUAUAGGCUAGGAAGGUCUUCAUGGUUUCAGGGAAGAUAUAGGCUAGGAAGGUCUUCAUGGUUUCAGGGAAGAUAUAGGCUAGGAAGGUCUUCAUGGUUUCAGGGAAGAGGCUACAGUAAAUCUAUAUGAGCCCAGUGAAGAGGCACCUUGCCGGGCACGUUGGCUGUUCGGCCGGUCCCUCUCCUGGGAGAAAACUGGUCCUCUUCAACCACACAUGGUCAUAUACAGCCACUGAAUACAUACAGAAAGAAAAGAGAAAGAGAGGCCAAUGGACAGAGAGGAGAGAAAGAGAGGCCAAUGGACAGAGAGGAGAGAAAGAGAGGCCAAUGGACAGAGAGGAGAGAAAGAGAGGCCAAUGGACAGAGAGGAGAGAAAGAGAGGCCAAUGGACAGAGAGGAGAGAAAGAGAGGCCAAUGGACAGAGAGGAGAGAAAGAUGGACAAAGGAAAGGAAGAGACCGGUGGACAGAGAGGAGAGAAAGAGAGAACGACAGGUGGACAGAGAUGAGAGAAAGGGAGAGAUGGACAGAGAGGAGAGAAAGAGAGAUGGACAGAGAGGAGAGAAGGACAGAGAGAGAGAUGGACAGAGAAGAGAAGAAGAGAGAAGCACAGAGAGGAGAGAUGGACAGAGAGGAGAGAAGGACAGAAAGGAGAGAAAGAGAGAUGGACAGAGAAGAGAAGAAGAGGGAAGCACAGAGGAGAGAAGUUAGACACUAGACCACAGGCUGCUAAAAUGCAUGGCUGUUUGUUGAAAAUGUAGAGAAUGAUCUAGGACCCACCUCAGAGAUAUUCACCUCAGAUCCAGAACCCACUUUAGAGAUAUUCAUCUCAGAUACGGGUCCCACCUCAGAUAUUCAUCUCAGAUCCAGGACCCACCUCAUAUAUAUUAAUCUCAGAUCCAGGACCCACCUCAUAUAUAUUAAUCUCAGAUCCAGGACCCACCUCAGAGAUAUUCAUCUCAGAUAAAGGACUCACCUCAGCGAUGUUCAUCUCAGCCACUCCUUCUCCCUCUUUGUCUAGCUGCUGGAAAGAUC